UUUUUAUGAGAGUUUGAUCCUGGCUCAGGACGAACGCUGGCGGCGUGCCUAAUACAUGCAAGUCGAACGCUUCUUUUUCCACCGGAGCUUGCUCCAUCGGAAAAAGAG
rnacentral:rRNA from 1 species